rnacentral:sRNA from 1 species
UGCUUUAAACACAUGUGAUCUUCUUUUGACUUGGGCGCUUAAGCUUCAACGGCUACAUGAGGAGUCUUCUAGGUCUUCUAGAAGAGCUUAAGGUGAAGAAGAGUUUAUAUGGGCUUCUCUCAUUGUCAUGUUGUACGGAUGGGCUUCUCUUCGUCCGUACGGUCGUCUAGGUUAACUUGCGGAAGGGGUUUCCUUCAUUAGGUUCAAUACUCCCCCUCAAGCUUAACCGGAGAUGAGUCGAGAUUAAGCUUGGAACCAAAUUCAACCACCUCAUUAAAAACCUUAGUGUAGAAAAACCUCUUGGGAUAAAACUACACACAAGGGAAAAAGAGUAUGGGAUAUUUGAUAAGAGGAUCAUGGCCGGGUUAGAUCAACUAGGCCAAGUU